rnacentral:misc_RNA from 1 species
GAUGAAGGACGCAGCGAAAUGCGAUAAGUAAUGUGAAUUGCAGAAUUCAGUGAAUCAUCGAAUCUUUGAACGCAUCUUGCGCUCCUUGGUAUUCUGAGGAGCAUGCCUGUUUGAGUGUCAUUAAAUUCUCAACUACACUGACUUUGAAUUGGUGUGGCUUGGAUUUGGGGGGAAAAUUGUUGUGGGCUUUUUGUAUAGUCUGCUCCCCUGAAAUUGAUUAGCGGUACCUUUGUGGAACUGUCUACAGGUGUGAUAAUUAUCUACAUCUUAGACAUCUGCUGGAAUGCUGCUUUCUAAACCUUACUUGUAUUGACAAUCUUGACCUCAAAUCAGGUAGGACUACCCGCUGAACUUAAGCAUAUCAAUAAGCGGAGGA